rnacentral:rRNA from 1 species
UACGAAGGGGGCUAGCGUUGCUCGGAAUCACUGGGCGUAAAGCGCACGUAGGCGGAUCGUUAAGUCGGAGGUGAAAUCCUGGAGCUCAACUCCAGAACUGCCUUCGAUACUGGCGAUCUUGGAGUCCGGGAGAGGUGAGUGGAACUCCGAGUGUAGAGGUGAAAUUCGUAGAUAUUCGGAAGAACACCAGUGGCGAAGGCGACACACUGGCCCGUUACUGACGCUGAGGCGCGAAAGCGUGGGGAGCAAACAGG